rnacentral:rRNA from 1 species
UACGGAGGGGGCUAGCGUUGUUCGGAAUUACUGGGCGUAAAGCGCACGUAGGCGGCUUUGUAAGUCAGAGGUGAAAGCCCAGGGCUCAACCUUGGAAUUGCCUUUGAGACUGCAUGGCUAGAACACGGGAGAGGUGAGUGGAAUUCCGAGUGUAGAGGUGAAAUUCGUAGAUAUUCGGAAGAACACCAGUGGCGAAGGCGGCUCACUGGACCGUUGUUGACGCUGAGGUGCGAAAGCGUGGGGAGCAAACAGG